rnacentral:lncRNA from 1 species
CCUGCAUCCAGAUGUUCUACUGCAUCCCGAACUCUAGCAGACAAUAUUUUCUCAACUGUUUAUUGUGUAUAAGCAUGCUGAGUCAGAGGUGAGUUAACCCUGCUCUCUGGGAGGGAGAUACUCACCAGGGAGAAGGAAUGACUUCCUGGGCUGCAGGGCUGAUUUAGGGAAAUUCCUUGCCCAGAGCCCUAAUCAGUGUCUUGGUGCCUAGGAAAAGUGAAGUGUUAUUUCCAGGGGUGAGCAGUUGAUUUGGUCCAUUCAGUCUUGAGGAUUAUACGUAGUAAUCCUAGUUAACGUCACAAUGUUCAAAUGUAAGAGCACACUGGGUACUUCCUGGGGAAAA